CCUUCGAUAGCUCAGUUGGUAGAGCGGAGGACUGUAGGUGAUUAUAGCAGCGAUCCUUAGGUCGCUGGUUCAAAUCCGGCUCGAAGGA
rnacentral:tRNA from 1 species